rnacentral:rRNA from 1 species
UACGUAGGGUCCGAGCGUUGUCCGGAAUUACUGGGCGUAAAGAGCUCGUAGGUGGUUUGUCGCGUUGUUCGUGAAAACUCACAGCUUAACUGUGGGCGUGCGGGCGAUACGGGCAGACUUGAGUACUGCAGGGGAGACUGGGAUUCCUGGUGUAGCGGUGGAAUGCGCAGAUAUCAGGAGGAACACCGGUGGCGAAGGCGGGUCUCUGGGCAGUAACUGACGCUGAGGAGCGAAAGCGUGGGGAGCGAACAGG